GGUACCAUUAGACUGCGUAUGAAUUGAGCGUGGAAGUGCAGGAAAAGUGGGGGGUUUAAACAGAGACAAGAAGAAGCGAGGUGGAUGGAAGUCCUACAAAAGAGUUAAGAAAGGCUUUCGUCCUCUACGAGAGCGAGAGAUGUAUGUUUGUUUGCUUCGUGUUUUUGGGCAACAGUUACCAGAGCCUCCCGGCUUCUCCCAACCACAUUAACGCAAAAGGCAAGCACCACUAUUACUCCCUCGACACCCGCUAUCUCCUCUUUUCUUCUCCAGACAUUCAAUUCCUGCCCACCUCUCUUCCACAAAUACUCCACAGCUUUGCUGCCGCUAUUUCCAGCUUCAAAUGGAUCGUCAUGAUGAAUACCCCAUGCCCCUGCCUUCUGCCCCCACUCCCCUUAACAGACCCUUCCUACGAUGGAAUCAUGGAACUCUUCUGGCAAAACGGCCCCGUCGCUUUGCCCAGCUUAAACCAUCGGACUCUCAGAAAACCUCCGCCGCCCAAGCCGUCCGGAGAUGUGACUGCUUCGGGGCCGUCUACGGCGACGGAGAUUGAGAUUGGACCCUCACCCCAAGCGGAAAACUACAGCAACCAACAUCUGUUCGUGCAAGAAGACGAAAUGGCUUCCUGGCUUCACUGCCCCAUCGUCGACGAUUCUCCCCUGGAUCACAAUUUCAGUGCGGACCUCCUCUACUCGCCACACACCGCCGUCAACAACAGUGCCACCAUGCAAACCAAUGUCAGAGCACCUCAGGUGACGGAGUUCGGGCAGCCUUCGACGUCAUUAGCUACUCCUACGCCCCCUAUACCUCCGACAUGGGGGCCACAGGCUAAGAUGCAAGAAUCCGAGCACUUCUCGAAACACAAUGCCAGAGUUGAAUCAGGGCCAUCGAGGUCAAGGACCGCGGCUAGGGAAUCGACGGCGGUGGAUUCAUGCGACACUCUUGCAGUCGUGGCGACUCCCAGAGUCUCGGACGCCGUGAGAAGCACGGCGGAGCCAACCAAAGGAGCCGCCUGUCGAGGGAGCACGAGUACUACAGGGAUUGCAGGGCCUUCGACUACGACAGCCGGUGGAGGAACGGAGGUGAUGGCGUGUGAGAUGACGGCAACUUCGUCGCCCGGAGGGUCAACUAGGAGUGCAGAACUGUCUGACAGGUCGCCGGCGGAGGAUCGGAAGCGGAAGGGGCGGGAAGCCGAUGACUCAGAGUGUCACAUCGAGGAUUUGGAUUACGAAUCUGCGGAGGCAAGAAAACAAGCUCGCGGAUCGAAAUCAACGAAGAGAUCCCGUGCUGCGGAGGUCCAUAAUCUAUCGGAGAGGAGACGUCGAGAUAGGAUUAAGGAAAAGAUGAGAGCUUUACAAGAACUUAUUCCUCGGUGCAAUAAGUCUGACAAAGCUUCAAUGCUGGAUGAAGCAAUUGAAUACUUGAAGUCAUUGCAGUUACAAGUUCAGAUGAUGUCCAUGGGAUAUGGAAUGUUACCCAUGAUGUACCCAGGAAUGCAGCAGUACAUGCCAGCAAUGGGAAUGGGCAUGGUGGGCAUGGAAAUGGGAAUGAACAGACCAGUGAUGCCGUUUACUAAUAUCGCGGCCGCCACCGCAGUUCCCGCUUAUAUGGGACCAAGGUCCUUUUCUGUGCCUCCUCCUUUCCAUGUUGCUGCACCUGAUUUAUCCAGCAUGCAAGCAGCAAACAAGCCAGAUAACAUGCUUCCCUCGCUGACUUCAUCUGAUCCUAUUCACUCACGGAUCCCAAACCUCACUCAAGCUUAUCACCAAUACCUUGGUCCCCACCAGAUUCAGUGCCAUUUAAUGCAGAAUCAGACAAUGAUGCAACCAGAUAUCGGCAAGCCAGGUACCAGUAGGGCCCGUGAGAAUCCAGAAAAUCAUCAGCCAGGUGAAUACUUUGUAUUCUUCAAGACUUAGCUUCUUGCUGUGGAAAUAAAAGGACAAGAAUUAUUGAGGGGCAACGGGGCUGACUGUAUAAUUGUGUCACAGACUUCCCCGGCACAUAAUAACACAAGAAAAUGGAUGAUUUUCUCAUGGUUCCAUUCAAGAGCUGAUCAAACCUUGCUGAUACCAGCAGCUCUAAUAUUGUCUUAUUUUCAAUCACAGCUGCCAAGUUUUGCGUUCGAGGACAAAAUGUUUACCAGUUCUCAGUAGCAAGCUGAUCGACAUAGGGGGAACCAGGUAGAUGGAUGCAUUGCCCUGUCGCGGAAAUGCAGGCUCUUCUCUGCAGCGUGAUCUCAACAUUCUUAUAUUUGUUCCAGAUUAUUGUUUCAAGCAACAAUUCCCACAAUUUGUCCGGUCAUUGAACUGGGGGAAUUAUAAAUGAAAAUCUUCAACCAAAUAAUAGUAUAA